GACGAACGCUGGCGGCGUGCUUAACACAUGCAAGUCGAACGAUGAAGCAGAGAAACGCGCCCUUCGGUUCAAAUUUCACUUCGGAUUAGUGGCAGACGGGUGAGUAACGCGUGAGCAACCUACCUCUUACAAAGGGAUAGCCUCGGGAAACCGUGAUUAAUACCAUAUGACACAUUCAUAAGGCAUCUUAAGAAUGUUAAAGCUACGGCGGUAAGAGAUGGGCUCGCGUCCCAUUAGCUAGUUGGUGAGGUAACGGCCCACCAAGGCGACGAUGGGUAACCGGCCUGAGAGGGUGAACGGUCACAUUGGAACUGAGACACGGUCCAAACUCCUACGGGAGGCAGCAGUGGGGAAUAUUGCACAAUGGAGGGAACUCUGAUGCAGCGACGCCGCGUGAGCGAUGAAGGAAUUCGUUUCGUAAAGCUCUGUUCUAUGGGAAGAAAAGGACUGUACCAUAGGAGAAAGCCCCGGCUAAAUACGUG
rnacentral:rRNA from 1 species